rnacentral:rRNA from 1 species
CCUACGGGAGGCAGCAGUAGGGAAUCUUCCGCAAUGGACGAAAGUCUGACGGAGCAACGCCGCGUGAACGAUGAAGGCCUUCGGGUCGUAAAGUUCUGUUGUUAGGGAAGAACAAGUGCUAGUUAAAUAAGCUGGCACCUUGACGGUACCUAACCAGAAAGCCACGGCUAACUACGUGCCAGCAGCCGCGGUAAUACGUAGGUGGCAAGCGUUGUCCGGAAUUAUUGGGCGUAAAGCGCGCGCAGGCGGUUUCUUAAGUCUGAUGUGAAAGCCCCCGGCUCAACCGGGGAGGGUCAUUGGAAACUGGGAAACUUGAGUGCAGAAGAGGAAAGUGGAAUUCCAAGUGUAGCGGUGAAAUGCGUAGAGAUUUGGAGGAACACCAGUGGCGAAGGCGACUUUCUGGUCUGUAACUGACGCUGAGGCGCGAAAGCGUGGGGAGCAAACAGGAUUAGAUACCCUGGUAGUCCACGCUGUAAACGAUGAGUGCUAAGUGUUAGAGGGUUUCCGCCCUUUAGUGCUGAAGUUAACGCAUUAAGCACUCCGCCUGGGGAGUCGGUCGCAAAGCUGAAACUNAAAGGAUUGACGGNNGAGNGNGCGAGCGACGAGAGGAG